GACGAACGCUGGCGGCGUGCUUAACACAUGCAAGUCGAACGGAAAGGCCCUGCUUUUGUGGGGUGCUCGAGUGGCGAACGGGUGAGUAACACGUGAGUAACCUGCCCUUGACUUUGGGAUAACUUCAGGAAACUGGGGCUAAUACCGGAUAGGAGCUCCUGCUGCAUGGUGGGGGUUGGAAAGUUUCGGCGGUUGGGGAUGGACUCGCGGCUUAUCAGCUUGUUGGUGGGGUAGUGGCUUACCAAGGCUUUGACGGGUAGCCGGCCUGAGAGGGUGACCGGGCACAAUGGGACUGAGAUACGGCCCAGACUCCUACGGGAGGCAGCAGGGGGGAAUAAUGCACAAUGGGCGGAAGCCUGAUGCAGCAACGCCGCGGGCGGGAAGACGGCCUUCGGGUUGGAAACCGCUUUCGCCUGUGACGAAGCGUGAGUGACGGUAAUGGGUAAAGAAGCACCGGCUAACUACGUG
rnacentral:rRNA from 1 species